UACGUAGGGUCCGAGCGUUGUCCGGAUUUAUUGGGCGUAAAGAGCUCGUAGGCGGUUCCGUAAGUCAGAUGUGAAAACUCAGGCUCAACCCGGAGACGCCAUCUGAUACUGCGGUGACUGGAGUUCUGGUAGGGGAACAUGGAAUUCCUGGUGUAGGCGGUGAAAUGCGCAGAUAUCAGGAGGAACACCGAUGGCGAAGGCAGGUGUUCUGGGCCAGUACGUGACGCUGAGGAGCGAAAGCGUGGGGGAGCAAACAGG
rnacentral:rRNA from 1 species